GUUGGAGUGUGGUGGCGCAUGCCUGUAAUCCCAGCAUCUUUGGAGGCUGAGACAGGAGGAUCACAAGUCCAAAGCCAGUCUCAGCAAAACCAGGGCACUAAGCAAAUCACUGAGACCCUGUCUCUG
rnacentral:sRNA from 1 species